GUUCUAACUCAGGUCCGUUAUCCGGAUCGAGGACAGUGUAUGGUGGGUAGUUUGACUGGGGCGGUCUCCUCCCAAAGAGUAACGGAGGAGUACGAAGGUGCGCUCAGACCGGUCGGAAAUCGGUCGUAGAGUAUAAAGGCAAAAGCGCGCUUGACUGCGAGACAAACACGUCGAGCAGGUACGAAAGUAGGUCUUAGUGAUCCGGUGGUUCUGUAUGGAAGGGCCAUCGCUCAACGGAUAAAAGGUACUCCGGGGAUAACAGGCUGAUACCGCCCAAGAGUUCAUAUCGACGGCGGUGUUUGGCACCUCGAUGUCGGCUCAUCACAUCCUGGGGCUGAAGCCGGUCCCAAGGGUAUGGCUGUUCGCCAUUUAAAGUGGUACGCGAGCUGGGUUUAGAACGUCGUGAGACAGUUCGGUCCCUAUCUGCCGUGGACGUUUGAGAUUUGAGAGGGGCUGCUCCUAGUACGAGAGGACCGGAGUGGACGAACCUCUGGUGUUCCGGUUGUCACGCCAGUGGCAUUGCCGGGUAGCUAUGUUCGGAAGAGAUAACCGCUGAAAGCAUCUAAGCGGGAAACUUGCCUCAAGAUGAGAUCUCACUGGGAUCUUGAAUCCCCUAAAGGGCCGUCGAAGACUACGACGUUGAUAGGUUGGGUGUGUAAGCGCUGUGAGGCGUUGAGCUAACCAAUACUAAUUGCCCGUGAGGCUUGACCAU
rnacentral:rRNA from 1 species